GGUGACUUUAAUUCUGUUCCUGGUUCUCCACUCUACAGUUUCAUAAAGGAAGGAAAAUUAAAUUAUGAAGGUCUUGCGAUUGGAAAGGUAUCUGGCCAGGAACAGUCUUCACGGGGACAAAGAAUUUUAUCUAUUCCAAUUUGGCCCCCAAACCUAGGCAUCUCUCAGAACUGUGUUUAUGAGGCACAGCAGGUUCCCAAAGUAGAAAAGACAGACAGUGAUGUGACUCAAGCACAGCAGGAGAAAGCAGAGGUCCCAGUGCCAGCUGACAAAGUGUCCUCACAUCUGCAGCAUGGCUUCAGCUUGUCCUCUGUCUAUUCCCAUUAUGUUCCUGACACUGGCGUCCCAGAGGUGACCACCUGCCAUUCCCGAAGUGCCAUAACAGUCGACUACAUUUUCUACUCUGCAGAGAAGGACGACACUGCUCGUGGUCCAGGAGCUGAAGUUGCUUUGGUUGGUGGCUUGAAACUUCUAGCUAGACUGUCACUUCUGACAGAACAAGACUUGUGGACUGUGAAUGGCCUUCCCAAUGAGCACAACUCCUCAGACCACCUGCCUUUGCUGGCCAAGUUCAGGCUUGAGCUCUGACCAUUGCUCAUUCACAGAACUUCCUGUCUGUAUUCUUUUUAAAGGCUGUGAAAAUUUUAAGUGUUUGCAUGCUGUUCAUUUUUGUGAUUGGGGUUCUGGAUUUCUGUUAUGUGCUUGAAACAGAUUGGAAGAAAGAAAUUUACAACUUUUUUUAAUGAAAUAUUUUCCUGAUAACUGAUGUCUAAAGAACGUUAUUGUAAAUGACUUCUAAGUUCUGGUGAAGUUGACAGCAUUUUAAAAAUGUAGUUCACCUCCUUGGCCCUCAAGAUAGGAAGUCAGUGCUUUUUUGUACGUCAGGUGGUCCUACCAGGACUGCAAUACUCAGCUUGAUGCCUUUUCUGGAGACUGAAUUUCAUUGGGAGAUGCCUGUGCUUGUUCUUAGAAAUCACUGGGUCAUUCCUCCACAGGGGUCCGCGCUUCUGAGGAGGCUUGACUAUGUGAUGUUGUAGAGAAUACUUGACCCACAUCACUGCCACCUUGAGCUGUGGAGUGUACCUACAUUUUGUAAUGGAAAUAGUUGAGAAGUGUAGGUCAUUCCCAUAAGAGCAAGGCUCCUAGGGAGAUAUGGUGGUGCAUACCUAUAAUCUUAUUAGCAUUUGGAAGGUGGCAGCAAGAGGAUUAGCUUUCUAAAGCCAGCUUUAGCAACAUAGCAAGUUCAAGGCCAGCCUGGGCUACAUGAAACCUGUCUUCAAGCAAACAAAAAAAGCCAAAGUCCUUUAUGUCCGCUCCUGUCCUGGAUAAAGAUUGCCCCAAGGAAAGCAGAUGGGCCAGGUGUAUCCACAAACAUCCUUAAUCCUAGCAUCUGGCAGAGGCAGGAGGAUCACUGUGUGUCCCAGGCUGACCAGAGCUAUACACAAGGCCCCAUGUCUCAAAGAUUGACAAAAGGCAGCAGAGCCCAGGUUGUACCUCCGUCUCCUGCACUUCCUUUCUCUUGAAUGAUGGUCAGGAGCGACAUUUGCUGAGCCAAUUCUGUACGAAUUUAUCAAAGCUGGUCUGGAAGGAAGGGGAGCUCCACAGUGGCGUAUCCUCCUACCAGCAGGAGUCAGCGUGGGAGGUGCUGCUUAGGCCCAGCAGCCUUCCUUCCAGGACCAUGGUGCCACAGUGCGCCGUGGCGCUUUCGCUGUCCAUGCAGCAUUACAGCAGCCUGGCCAGCCAGUAGCUCGCCCUGUGCAACGAAUAGUAGAAUUCUAAAUGUAAGUAGAAAUUUCUCUACUUUUAAAAUAGUAGAUUCAGAUUACAGGCAUUCUUACUAAGUCAUUACUGUGCAGUGAUAGAUGUUUUUUACAGUGAGUUUUACUACUAAUAGGAUGUUUUAAAUUAGAUAGUAAAUUUUUGUAAUUUAAAAUUUUAACUCCUUUAUUCUAGCUAUUAUGUCUACUAGACUAUUGCCUCAGAGGUACAGGCUGAAGUGCCCAGUGAACACUGAGCAAGGCAGCAGGCUCACUCUGGUUUUCAUGUAGAGUAUUAAUGUAGUGCUGAGGCGGCCCACAGUUUUCAGUAGUACUUUGUGGGGUGCUACAGGUCCUGGUUAGAGACACAAUCACUAUCAAAUUACAGUGGUAAUUGCCCCUUUUUAAUAUGGAGAUUGUGUUGAAUUUGUGUAGACAUAAUUGUAGGCAAACUAACAUUCAUUAAAACCUUUGUAAGGGGCUGGAGAGAUGGCUCAGAGGUUAAGAGCACCGACUGCUCUUCCAGAGGUCCUGAGUUCAAUUCCCAGCAACCACAUGGUGGCUCACAACCAUCUGUAAUGCCCUCUUCUGGUGUGUCUGAAGACACCAUAAUCACAUAAAUUAAAAAAGAAAAAGAAAAAAAAACCUUUGUAAAGUUUUUAUAUCUUGAUGAAUAUAAUGUGAAUUUAGGCCUAUUUCCUGUAUAGCACCUUGAUUUAGUUCAUUCGUAAAUUGCUGUUAGCUUAUUGUUAAUUUGUGGCCACACAAUACUUCUCACAAGCUUUUAAAACUCCAAUAAAAAUUAUCUAUUUUUCUACUGUUGUGGACAGAGAGCAGCACUUACUGAGCAAAGUUGGAUCUGACUCCAGGAGUCAGAUCCCUCACAGGCCAAGGCCUAUGCCUGGUAUGUGUUUGCUUGCACGUGUGUCUAGAAGCCAUCGGCGAGCCCUCUGAAGCCAUCCACCUUUUAUUUUUAAGACAGGUCCUCUCGCUGGCCUGGAACAUCCAAAGUAGGAUAGAUAAGCUGACAGGCCAACCAGGCUCCGAGAUCCUCCUGCCUGCCUUCCUCGUGAGAUGUGCUGUGGAUACUUGGCUUUUCACGUGGGUCCUGGGAUCACACUCAGGCCCUCUGGCUGAGCCAUCUCCCCAGCCUCAUGCUGGCCGGGUUGUAAAUGCAAAGGGUGAGUGUGAUGAUGUCUACUGGGCCUUUGCCAUCGAAAAAAUAGACACUCAAAUCUUGUCUUCAGGAUUGAGCAUCUGCUAGUUUUUAAUCUUUUGUUAAAAAAAAAGUUGUAAGUCGUAGAGUCCUUUGUAUCUGUAAGCUGUAAUAAAUUAUUAUAUUUGCACAUUU
rnacentral:lncRNA from 1 species